rnacentral:misc_RNA from 1 species
AACGCACCUUGCACCCUCUGGUAUUCCGGAGGGUAUGCCUGUCUGAGUGUCUCAAGACACACUCGUCCCGGGGGGUGACCCCCGGGGUCGGAAUUGGAUGUUGCCUUUGCUGGCUCGUCCCAAAGUCAUCGGUGGCGGACGGCCCCAGCCUUGCGUGAUACGUUUCGCUUGGAGGGGUGUCCCGAAGCUUCCUCGAAACCGCCGUGCUCGCACGGACCUAAAGGUUGACCUCAGAUCAGGUAGGACUACCCGCUGAACUUAA